AUUGCACUCGUCCCGGCCU
rnacentral:miRNA from 1 species